AACUUUUUAGUUCACAGGGAAUGAAAAUUAACCUUUGUAUCAGAUUCGUCGCCAGCAUUAUAGGAACAUAUAAGAAUCCAAGAAAAUUUCUACUUAAUAUUGUCAGAAAAAUACGAAUAAAUAUAGGAUUCAACUAUAAAAUAAAAGAAGGGCAAAAAUAAAACUUAUCGAUGUAGAGCAAAUUAUGUUGAGCAGAGGCGUG
rnacentral:lncRNA from 1 species